rnacentral:rRNA from 1 species
GACGAACGCUGGCGGCGUGCUUAACACAUGCAAGUCGAACGAUGAACCCGGAGCUUGCUCCGGCGGAUUAGUGGCGAACGGGUGAGUAACACGUGAGUAACCUGCCCUUGACUCUGGGAUAACUGCUAGAAAUGGUAGCUAAUACCGGAUACGACCCUCGGUGGCAUCACCAGGGGGUGGAAAGAAUUUCGGUCAAGGAUGGACUCGCGGCCUAUCAGCUAGUUGGUGAGGUAACGGCUCACCAAGGCGACGAAGGGUAGCCGGCCGGAGAGGGUGACCGGCCACACUGGGACUGAGACACGGCCCAGACUCCUACGGGAGGCAGCAGUGGGGAAUAUUGCACCAUGGGCGAAAGCCUGAUGCAGCAACGCCGCGUGAGGGAUGACGGCCUUCGGGUUGUAAACCGCUUUUAGUAGGGAAGAAGCGAAAGUGACGGUACCUGCAGAAAAAGCACCGGCUAACUACGUGCCAGCAGCCGCCGUAA